GAUGAACGCUAGCGGCAGGCUUAAUACAUGCAAGUCGAGGGGCAGCACAGGUAGCAAUACUGGGUGGCGACCGGCAAACGGGUGCGGAACACGUACACAACUUACCUUAGAGUGGGGGAUAGCCCAGGGAAACUUGGAUUAAUACUCCAUAAAACAGGGGGCCCGCAUGGGCAUAUUGUUAAAGAUUUACCGCUUUAAGAUGGGUGUGCGUAUGAUUAGGUAGUUGGUAGGGUAAAGGCCUACCAAGCCGACGAUCAUUAACUGGUGUGAGAGCACGACCAGUCACACGGGCACUGAGACACGGGCCCGACUCCUACGGGAGGCAGCAGUAAGGAAUAUUGGUCAAUGGACGGAAGUCUGAACCAGCCAUGCCGCGUGAAGAAUGAAGGUCCUCUGGAUUGUAAACUUCUUUUAUAGGGGGCGAAAAAGGGCCAUUCUUGGUCAACUGACGGUACCCUAUGAAUAAGCACCGGCUAACUCCGUGCCAGCCGCCGCAGUAACAC
rnacentral:rRNA from 1 species